rnacentral:rRNA from 1 species
UGAAAUGCUUAGAGAUUACAUGGAAUACCAAUUGCGAAGGCAGGUUACUACUAAUGGAUUGACGCUGAUGGACGAAAGCGUGGGUAGCGAACAGGAUUAGAUACCCUGGUAGUCCACGCCGUAAACGAUGGAUACUAGCUGUUGGGCGCAAGUUCAGUGGCUAAGCGAAAGUGAUAAGUAUCCCACCUGGGGAGUACGUUCGCAAGAAUGAAACUCAAAGGAAUUGACGGGGGCCCGCACAAGCGGUGGAGCAUGUGGUUUAAUUCGAUGAUACGCGAGGAACCUUACCAAGGCUUAAAUGUAGAUUGACAGGACUGGAAACAGUUUUUUCUUCGGACAAUUUACAAGGUGCUGCAUGGUUGUCGUCAGCUCGUGCCGUGAGGUGUCAGGUUAAGUCCUAUAACGAGCGCAACCCCUGUUGUUAGUUGCCAGCGAGUCAAGUCGGGAACUCUAACAAGACUGCCAGUGUAAACUGUGAGGAAGGUGGGGAUGACGUCAAAUCAUCACGGCCCUUACGCCUUGGGCUACACACGUGCUACAAUGGACGGUACAGAGAGCAGCCACUACGCAAGUAGGAGCGAAUCUAUAAAACCGUUCUCAGUUCGGAUCGGAGUCUGCAACUCGACUCCGUGAAGUUGGAAUCGCUAGUAAUCGGAUAUCAGCCAUGAUCCGGUGAAUACGUUCCCAGGGCCUUGUACACACCGCCCGUCAAGCCAUGGAAGC